rnacentral:rRNA from 1 species
AGUGAACGCUGGCGGUAGGCCUAACACAUGCAAGUCGAACGGCAGCACCGUAAGAGCUUGCUCUUACGGGUGGCGCGUGUCGGACGGGUGAGGAAUACAUCGGAAUCUACUUUUUCGUGGGGGCUAACGUAGGGAAACUUACGCUAAUACCGCAUACGACCUACUGGUGACAGCAGGCGAUCUUCGUACCUUGUGCGAUUGAAUGAGCCGGUGUCGGAUUAGCUAGUUGGCGUGGUCAAGGCCCACCAAGGCGACGAUCCGUAGCGGGUCUGAGAGGAUGAUCAGCCACACUGGAAGUGAGACACGGUCCAGACACCUGCGGGAGGAAGCAGUGGGGAAUAUUAGACGAUGGGGGAAAGCGGGAUCCAGCCAUACCGCGGAGGGGAAGAAGGAGUUCGGGUGGGAGAGCCAUUUUGUUGGGAAAGAAAAAAAGCAGGUUAAUACCGGGCUGUAAUGACGGUACCCAAAGAAUAAGCACCGGCUAACUUCGUG